CCUACGGGCGGCAGCAGUGGGGAAUAUUGCGCAAUGGCCGAAAGGCUGACGCAGCGACGCCGCGUGGGGGAUGAAGCAUUUCGGUGUGUAAACCCCUGUUGCUCGGGACGAACAACCUGUUUUGACAGGUCUGACGGUACCGGGUGAGGAAGCACCGGCUAACUCCGUGCCAGCAGCCGCGGUAAUACGGAGGGUGCGAGCGUUGUCCGGAAUCACUGGGCGUAAAGGGCGCGUAGGCGGUCUGUUAAGCGUGCGGUGAAAGCCUGGGGCUCAAC
rnacentral:rRNA from 1 species